rnacentral:rRNA from 1 species
AUUGAACGCUGGCGGUAUGCCUUACACAUGCAAGUCGAACGGCAACACGGUGAAAGGUGCCUCCGAGUGGCGACGGGGGGCGUACUGCUUAGGAAUGCGUCCAGAUGUACGUGUUCACUGGUGGAAACGGAGGCUAACAUACCCUACGACCUCAGGAUACCUGCGGGGGAAAGUAGGGCAUCGUCGGACUUGACGCGCUGAUGUCAGAUUAGGUAGUUGGUGGGGUAAAGGCUCACCAAGGCAACGAUAUGUAGCUGGCCUGAGAGGACGACCAGCCACACUGGAACUGAGACACGGCCCAGACUCCUACGGGAGGCAGCAGUGGGGAAUUUUGGACAAUGGGCGCAAGCCUGAUCCAGCAAUGCCGCGUGCAGGAAGAAGGCCUUCGGGUUGUAAACUGCUUUUGUACGGAACGAAACGGCUCUGGUUAAUACCCGGGGCUAAUGACGGUACCGUAAGAAUAAGCACCGGCUAACUACGUG